AUAAACUCGCCUAAAGGUUGUACAUUAAGUAAUUGCAGCCGCUCCCCUGACUCCCUCUUCAUUCACUUCAGCGCGACACUUCGUCGAGCUCGGUCGCACGCUUCAGUCGACUCCCAUCACUCCAAUCUUGAACUUAAUAAGCAUGGCAAUGGGUCCGCAGUUGAUGGUAGCAAUGACAAUACUUGCAGUCCUUCUACCUCUCUCGUUUGCGGACAGGUGCAGAGAGAUUUGUGAAAAGGUUAACUUUGCUGAUCAGUGCGGAACCUGUCUUGGCAGGGCUCCGGUGCGAUUUGGCAAACGAUCUUCUUCGGAUGUGGGCUCCAUGUUACGAGGGAUGUCGCCCGCUUCGUCCUCUCACUUGCUGUCAUUACUCCUCGAACGAGCGGCCCGAUUACAUGCUCGAUAUGAUGUUCCACAUUGUGUCUAAGCGGGUUUCCUCUUAUAUAUAAUUUGUUUAAGUUAAUCUACUGCUCAAUAUGUAAAAUCAAAACUAUCCAGCAUAUAGCGUAAAACGAGAGAAUAUAUGCA